UACGUAGGGUGCAAGCGUUGUCCGGAAUUAUUGGGCGUAAAGAGCUCGUAGGCGGUUUGUCGCGUCUGCUGUGAAAACUCGGGGCUUAACCCUGAGCUUGCAGUGGGUACGGGCAGACUAGAGUGCGGUAGGGGAGACUGGAAUUCCUGGUGUAGCGGUGAAAUGCGCAGAUAUCAGGAGGAACACCGGUGGCGAAGGCGGUUCUCUGGGCCUUACCUGACACUGAGGAGCGAAAGCGUGGGGAGCGAACAGG
rnacentral:rRNA from 1 species